rnacentral:rRNA from 1 species
UACAGAGGGUGCGAGCGUUAAUCGGAAUUACUGGGCGUAAAGCGUGCGUAGACGGCUAUCUAAGUCGGGUGUGAAAGCCCCGGGCUCAACCUGGGAAUUGCAUUCGAGACUGAAUAGCUAGGGUACGGUAGAGGGAAGUGGAAUUUCCGGUGUAGCGGUGAAAUGCGUAGAUAUCGGAAGGAACAUCAGUGGCGAAAGCGACUUCCAGGACCAGUACCGACGUUCAGGCACGAAAGCGUGGGGAGCAAACAGG